ACCUAAGCGAUGAAAUCCAAAGGUGAAUCUUUUGGUUGGUGAUUUUGAUGAUAGCCACAAAGCAAGCAGGGUAAUGCUGAUGCUUCAAGUCUUGGAACCACACUUCGAGAAUCACUGUUAUAAUGUACAGCAGAACUGCAUGAUCAGCUGUAUGGUAGCCUUGAAAACCAACAGGCCACAAUCACAGUGAAAACCUCAGGUUGGCAGCCACUGGAGGAUACAAAAUGAGUUUGGAUCUCCUUCAAUGCCCCAUUCCCAGAGAACUGUCAUUAUUUGACCUGCUGGUAGUUCCCUAAAGGACGUGCAAGGAUGUUUUUAUUUGACUGGACACUUGAAGCUUGCCCUGUAUGAACAGCCCCCAUCUUCCCAUGCUUGUCAAAAAUCAGAGGCAACUAACACUGCGGCUUCCUGAGAGUCUCACUCUGUCACCCAGGCUGGAGAGCAAUUGCACAAACACUUGGCUCACUGCAGCCUCAACUUCUUGUCCUCAAGUGAUCCUCCCACCUUAGCCUCCUAAGUAGCUGGGACCACAGUGAGGUCAAAAAAUGUUUGAAAGCCACUGAGAUAGAAGGACCAGCCACUUUGAACGCCUUAGAGGCAAAAAGAGCUUUGUGAGUUGUAAGAGGAAAAAGAAGACCAGCAUGGCUGAAGCGAGCCCUGGGGAGGAGUGUUAUGAAAGAAGAUGAGUCUGGAAGUGUUAGUUGCAAAGAUAUGCAUUUACUUCUCUGGCUACAAAAAAGAAUAGAAAUGCACAAAGCAGAGCAGUGUGAAGAAGAAGAGGCGAUGACCCCUAGACCGACCAAAGCCCGUGCUCCACUGCCCAGUGCCUAUGUCCCACCACUGUCGCUGCCACCCUGCCCGAGAGAAAGGCUGAAGGGGAUGCUAAAGGAGAUAAAACCAAGGUUAAGUAGGAACUGCAGAGAAGAUCCACAAGGUUGUCUGCUAAACCUGCUCCUCCAAAGCCACAGCCGAAGCCCAGAAAGGCCUCUGCAAAGAAGAGAGAGAAGGUACCUACAGAGAAGAAGGGAAAAGCUGAUGCUGGCAAGGAGGGGAAUAACCCUGCAGAAAAUGGAGAUGCCAAAACAGACUAGGCACAGAAAGCUAAAGGUGCUGGAGAUGCCAAGUGAAGUGUGUGCAUUUUUGAUAACUGUGUACUUCUGGUGACUGUACAGUUUGAAAUACUAUUUUUUAAUCAAGUUUUAUAAAAAUGCAGAUUUUGUUUAGCUUUUUUUUUUUUUUUUAAGCUAUGUUAGUACACAGAAUACUUCAUUGUUGUUUUGGGGAGAAGGGCCAUAUGUCACUAAUAGAAAGCCCCUGAAGCUGGACUGAUGUGGGGAAAACACCUUUUCCUUCUGGUUUUGAGAGACUUCCUCUUGGGUCCCAGGAAGAGGGAUUCCCUGACUUUGAUACACAUGGCCACCUUGGUAUAAAAGCCUUGUGGUAUGGAAAAACAAAUUCGUUUUUUAUGUCCUCUUCUCUGUUUCUACCUUUCAGAAUGGACUUAAAUCCCUUAAACCCAGACAUCUUCUGGGACCUGACCCCCAAUAAUUGGUUACCAGUGUGUCAGGCAAUCUGGACUUUGCCCUCAAAAGAGCAGUGGUUCCUGUUUCUAGGUUGUGGAUCUUCAGAUAAAUUCUGUCAUUUUCCUUUCACUUCCUGAAAGCCAGGGUCGGUUCAUGAAAAGCUAUGAAACAGCAUGCUAAAUGUGAAAUGUCAACCCUCACUAAACUUUGCCGGUUCAGAGCAUCAGAUGAAGACUUCAUUGGGUUUUACAGUGGCUUUCUGAUUUUUGGUAGUCCAUUGAAGAAGGGAGUUUGAAAGUUGUUGUAUACUGUUAACGAUUGUCUGCCCAUGUCCUGCCCAAAAUACCAUGAUUCUUUAUGGAAAUUAUCUUUAAUAAAGCUGGAUACAGUUUGGCUUGGG
rnacentral:lncRNA from 1 species